rnacentral:lncRNA from 1 species
AGAGGCGCGGGUGUUCGGCUGCGUCACUGGGGCGCUAUGGUGCCUGGAGCUGGGCAGUUUUCUCGUCAGAGUGGGGACUGGUAAGAGCGACCUCCCCGCCAGGUCCUGUGUGUUGCCGGCUGAAGAAGGGUAGCUGAAAAAUUCAGACCCAGCACAGUGUUUAUGUUGGUCAAAAAUAGAAAACUAUGUCUGGCGCGGCCGAGGCGGGAGGACCCUUCAGGCCAAGAGCAGCGUAGCAACAUGGCGCAACCCCAUCUCUGUAGUCCUACCUCAGCCCCCCAGCUACUUGAACCCAAAGGUUCAAGGCUCCAGUGAGCUAUGAUCCCACCACAGCAUUCCAGCCUGCGAGAUUGAGAUGAUGAUUAUUCCCCACCUUCUAAGAGACAAAGACCAACGAGCCACCACAGCCACCAGUCCCAGAACCCGCCAAUGCUGGGGAACGGAAAAUGAGGGAGUUCAACUCUGAGAAAUGGAAUCAUCGUAUCGCUGAUCUACGUAAACAAACUGAAGAAUUGUCUGAAAGAAAAUAUGACAUGAACUUAUGAAUUCAACAGGUGAAGAUUUACAACUUGAUAAAUCAACUUUGUGAGCUCGAGCUGUAAAAGCCAAAGGUCUGGUGAUGAUCCCAUACCCUUUUUUCCAGUCUCAUGUUGAAGAUUUUUAUGUAGAAGGCCUUCCCAAAGGAAUUUUUUUUUUUUUUUUUUUUUGAGAUGGAGUUUUCACUCUUAUCGCCCAGGCUGGGGUGCAAUGGCGCAACCUUGCUGGUCACUGCAACCUCUGCCUCCUGGGUUCAAGAAAUUCUCCUGCCUUAGCCUCCCAAGUCGCUGGGAUUAUAGGUGCCCACCACCACACCAGGCUAAUUUUUGUAUUUUUAGUGGAGAUGGGGUUUCACCAUGUUGGCCGGGCCAGUCUCGAACUCCUGAUGUCAAGUGAUCUUCCCGCCUCGACUCCUGACAUCAAGUGAUCUUCCCGCCUCGGCCUCCCAGAGUGCUGAGAUUACAGACGUGAACCCAUGCCUGGCCAGGAAUUUUGUUUUUUAGGAAGGCUUUCUACUAAUGGAAUUCCUGGCCUUGAGAGGAUGUUACUUUCGAAGGAAAGGAUUUUUUUGUUAUUAAAAGAGCCACCUAAGCUGAAGAUUCCCUUGAGAACAAGUACUGUCCUGCGGUUUCAUGGCCUUUCUUCCAUUUGUGGUUCUUGUGAAGUGGAAUUUAAAUGACAUCUUAUCAAGAUGGAUAAACCCUAGUUUCCCAGUGCUGGAAUAUAGAAAAUGGAUGGACAAGUAAAUCCCACUCAGCACCCAUAGUCCAGGCAUGGGGACCUCAACACACCUGAGCACCAGACAUCACCUUUCAUUCUGGACCUACCAUGAAAGACUUCUGAAUCCAGGAAGAGAAACUGACUGGGCAACAUGUUAUUCAGAGAUGGGACCUCAGUAUGUUGCCACGGCUGACCUUGAACUCCUGCACUCAAGGGAUUUUCCUACCCUGGCCUCCCAAAGUAUUGGUAUUACAGGCAUGAGCCAUUGUGCCCACCGUCUCUGGUUCUUAACCUUCUGCCUCCCUCUUCCAGUUUUAAAGAAUGCUUGUAAUUACAUGGGCUCUCCUAGAUACUCCAGGAUAAUCUUGUUUUAAGGUCAGCUGAUGAGCAACAUUAAUUUUAUCUGCACUAUUAAUUCCCCCUUCCUAUGUAAUUGUGCUGUGUAACAUAGGACAUGAGCAAUUGGUGGCGGUGGGGGUUAUUACUUUGGCCACCACAGUAACUAUUUUAUGCCAGGUACUCAGCUAAGCACUGGUGAAUUAAGCAUGAAUAACACACACUCCCUAAUCUCCAUCCAUUCAUGGGAGGAGCACUUCACCUGCCAUGCUCCUGAGAAUCUCGGGAGUCAGAGAAGUCUUCUAUGAGGAGGUGAUGCCAAAGCGGACAAGUGACAGAGGAGUCAAAGCUAGCUAGGAAGGGAGUAGAGGUUUAAGGGGAAGCAUAUUAUAAGCAGAGGAUAUUACCCACUUCAGAGACUCCCAGAGGAGAAAGAGUGUGCGUUCAAGAGGCAGAUGAGGCUCAGUUGGACUCCAUAGCAGAUGAAAUGGAGAGGGGCAAGCAGUGAGGCUGCCUUGCAAGGCAGGGCAGAGCAGGGGCUGUUAAGGAGUUUGGACUUAAUCCCUGAGGCAAGGAGAAGUGAUGUAAAUGGAGGAGUAACAUGAUGAGAUUCAUGGAUUAGAGACAUGGCUCAGGCUGCUGUAGAGAAGGCACCAGGGAGAGCAGAUGGCUCAAUGGGUGUGCAGGAGACCUCUCCCUGAGUUUAGGGAGAGGUUUUUAAAACAGAAGAAGUUUGAGUAAUUUAAAUGAUG